rnacentral:rRNA from 1 species
GUGCCAGCAGCCGCGGUAAUACGUAGGGCGCAAGCGUUAUCCGGAAUUAUUGGGCGUAAAGAGCUCGUAGGCGGUUUGUCGCGUCUGCUGUGAAAGACCGGGGCUCAACUCCGGUUCUGCAGUGGGUACGGGCAGACUAGAGUGCAGUAGGGGAGACUGGAAUUCCUGGUGUAGCGGUGAAAUGCGCAGAUAUCAGGAGGAACACCGAUGGCGAAGGCAGGUCUCUGGGCUGUAACUGACGCUGAGGAGCGAAAGCAUGGGGAGCGAACAGGAUUAGAAACCCGGGUAGUCC